rnacentral:tRNA from 1 species
UGGCUCAGAAGGUAAAGCAUCUGCCUGCAAUGCAGGAGACCUGAGUUCAAUCUCUG